GACGAACCGUGCGAACGUUGUUCGGAUUCACUGGGCUUAAAGGGCGCGUAGGCGGUACGUCAAGUCUGGGGUGAAAUCUUUCGGCUCAACCGGAAAAUUGCCUGAGAUACUGGCGUGCUCGAGGGAGGUAGGGGCAGCGGGAACUGCCGGUGGAGCGGUGAAAUGCGUUGAUAUCGGCAGGAACGCCGGUGGCGAAAGCGCGUUGCUGGACCUCUUCUGACGCUGAUGCGCGAAAGCUAGGGGAGCAAACGGG
rnacentral:rRNA from 2 species